UACGUAGGGUGCGAGCGUUGUCCGGAUUCAUUGGGCGUAAAGAGUUCGUAGGCGGUUUGUUAAGUCUGAUGUUAAAGAUCGGGGCUCAACCCUGGGAGUGCAUUGGAUACUGGCAGACUGGAGUGCAGUAGAGGCGAGUGGAAUUCCCAGUGUAGCGGUGAAAUGCGUAGAUAUUGGGAAGAACACCGGUGGCGCAGGCGACUCGCUGGGCUGUAACUGACGCUGAGGAACGAAAGCUAGGGGAGCAAAUGGG
rnacentral:rRNA from 1 species